rnacentral:sRNA from 1 species
CCGCCUGGCUGGAGGCGGAGACGACAUUGUACUAGUCCAAGAACCUUGGGUGAUUGGAGGAAAGGUUUGCGGACUAGGCAACAAAGACUAUAAGCUUUUAGUAGCUGGCAAUGAAGCAAUGCUGACAACAGAGCGGUAAGCCUGGAGCUCCAGUCAGCUCCGGUAAGGCUACUGCCUGCCUAUAUGGCCUACGACAGCGCCGGCCCGCCACCAGACGAGAUUACAAGGUCCCUCGUCCAGGAGUGCGAGAAGCACAGGAUUGGCCUAAUUAUUGGCUGCGACGCCAAUGCUCACACCACACACAGUGGGGGAGUACGGAUACAAAUCCUUCAUCCUUAAUACUAACCUCCUAGUAUGUAAAACGGGUAAUGAACUCGCAUUCAUUAUAAAAAAUAGACGAGAGGUCAUUGACCUGACACUCAUCUCACAAUCUAUGAGUGACCAGUUAACAAAUUGGAGAGUGUCCGAUGAACACUCCUUCUCUGAUCACAGGUACAUAGAAUUCGAACUUCUCGCGAGCCACCCAGAACCAGUUCACUUCCCAAAUCAGAAGAAGACGAACUGGGAAAUCUUCAAAGCCAAACUUGACCGAACCCUUUCGGAACACCCACCAAAAGACCCGGACAACUUAGCUUAUCUCUGCAAUCUUACAGAGACUUUCACUUUAGCAUGCAACAAGGCUUUUAAGGCAGCCUGCCCUAUUAGUAAGUCAAUGCACAAGAAGAAACCACCAUGGUGGACACCUCAACUAAAUGUCCUUCGACAAAGUUGCAGGUCUUUCUUCAAUGUGGUGAAAGCGCAAAAUAACGACCUACAAUAGUCUAAAUACAAAUCAAGUCUGGCUGAAUACAAAAAAAACCACCAGACGGGAAAAAAGGAAAUCUUGGAGAGUUUCUGCACAGAUAUUGAUUCAACUAAUGAAGCUGCAAGGCUUAGAAAAGUUUUAUCAAAAACUACACCCACA